GAUGAACGCUGGCGGCGUGCCUAAUACAUGCAAGUCGAGCGAACAGAUGAGGAGCUUGCUCCUCUGACGUUAGCGGCGGACGGGUGAGUAACACGUGGAUAACCUACCUAUAAGACUGGGAUAACUUCGGGAAACCGGAGCUAAUACCGGAUAAUAUAUUGAACCGCAUGGUUCAAUAGUGAAAGACGGUUUUGCUGUCACUUAUAGAUGGAUCCGCGCCGCAUUAGCUAGUUGGUAAGGUAACGGCUUACCAAGGCAACGAUGCGUAGCCGACCUGUGAGGGUGAUCGGCCACACUGGAACUGAGACACGGUCCAGACUCCUACGGGAGGCAGCAGUAGGGAAUCUUCCGCAAAGGGCGAAAGCCUGACGGAGCAACGCCGCGUGAGUGAUGAAGGUCUUCGGAUCGUAAAACUCUGUUAUUAGGGAAGAACAAAUGUGUAAGUAACUAUGCACGUCUUGACGGUACCUAAUCAGAAAGCCACGGCUAACUACGUG
rnacentral:rRNA from 1 species